rnacentral:rRNA from 1 species
AUGAACGCUAGCUACAGGCUUAACACAUGCAAGUCGAGGGGCAGCAUGAACUUAGCUUGCUAAGUUUGAUGGCGACCGGCGCACGGGUGAGUAACACGUAUCCAACCUGCCGAUGACUCGGGGAUAGCCUUUCGAAAGAAAGAUUAAUACCCGAUGGCAUAGUUCUUCCGCAUGGUAGAACUAUUAAAGAAUUUCGGUCAUCGAUGGGGAUGCGUUCCAUUAGGUUGUUGGCGGGGUAACGGCCCACCAAGCCUUCGAUGGAUAGGGGUUCUGAGAGGAAGGUCCCCCACAUUGGAACUGAGACACGGUCCAAACUCCUACGGGAGGCAGCAGUGAGGAAUAUUGGUCAAUGGACGAGAGUCUGAACCAGCCAAGUAGCGUGAAGGAUGACUGCCCUAUGGGUUGUAAACUUCUUUUAUACGGGAAUAAAGUGAGGCACGUGUGCCUUUUUGUAUGUACCGUAUGAAUAAGGAUCGGCUAACUCCGUGCCAGCAGCCGCGGUAAUACGGAGGAUCCGAGCGUUAUCCGGAUUUAUUGGGUUUAAAGGGAGCGUAGGCGGACGCUUAAGUCAGUUGUGAAAGUUUGCGGCUCAACCGUAAAAUUGCAGUUGAUACUGGGUGUCUUGAGUACAGUAGAGGCAGGCGGAAUUCGUGGUGUAGCGGUGAAAUGCUUAGAUAUCACGAAGAACUCCGAUUGCGAAGGCAGCCUGCUGGACUGUAACUGACGCUGAUGCUCGAAAGUGUGGGUAUCAAACAGGAUUAGAUACCCUGGUAGUCCACACAGUAAACGAUGAAUACUCGCUGUUUGCGAUAUACAGUAAGCGGCCAAGCGAAAGCGUUAAGUAUUCCACCUGGGGAGUACGCCGGCAACGGUGAAACUCAAAGGAAUUGACGGGGGCCCGCACAAGCGGAGGAACAUGUGGUUUAAUUCGAUGAUACGCGAGGAACCUUACCCGGGCUUGAAUUGCAACUGAAUGAUGUGGAGACAUGUCAGCCGCAAGGCAGUUGUGAAGGUGCUGCAUGGUUGUCGUCAGCUCGUGUCGUGAGAUGUUGGGUUAAGUCCCGCAACGAGCGCAACCCUUAUCCUUUGUUGCCAGCGGUCCGGCCGGGAACUCAAAGGAGACUGCCAGUGAUAAACUGGAGGAAGGUGGGGAUGACGUCAAAUCAGCACGGCCCUUACGUCCGGGGCUACACACGUGUUACAAUGGGGGGUACAGAAGGCAGCUACACGGCGACGUGAUGCUAAUCCCUAAAGCCUCUCUCAGUUCGGAUUGGAGUCUGCAACCCGACUCCAUGAAGCUGGAUUCGCUAGUAAUCGCGCAUCAGCCACGGCGCGGUGAAUACGUUCCCGGGCCUUGUACACACCGCCCGUCACACCAUGAGAGCCGGGGGGACCCGAAGUCGGUAGUCUAACCGCAAGGAGGACGCCGCCGAAGGUGGGGUUGAUGAUUAGGGUU